UAGUCCACGCCGUAAACGAUGGUCACUAGUUGUUGGGGUCUUGUACCUCAGUGAUUAAGAGAAAUUGAUAAGUGACCCACCUGGGGAGUACGAUCGCAAGAUUGAAACUCAAAGGAAUUGACGGGGGCCCGCACAAGCGGUGGAGCAUGUGGUUUAAUUCGAUGAUACGCGAGGAACCUUACCAGGGCUUAAAUGUAAGUUGCAUGAUUUAGAGAUAGAUCUUUCUUCGGACUACUUACAAGGUGUUGCAUGGUUGUCGUCAGCUCGUGCCGUGAGGUGUCAGGUUAAGUCCUAUAACGAGCGCAACCCCUACCGUUAGUUGCCAGCAUGUUGUGAUGGGGACUCUAGCGGGACUGCCGGUGCAAACCGAGAGGAAGGUGGGGAUGACGUCAAAUCAUCACGGCCCUUACGUCCUGGGCUACACACGUGCUACAAUGGCGCAUACAGAGGGUAGCUACCUGGCAACAGGAUGCCAAUCUCAAAAAGUGCGUCUCAGUUCGGAGUU
rnacentral:rRNA from 1 species